CCUACGGGAGGCAGCAGUGAGGAAUAUUGGUCAAUGGGCGGGAGCCUGACCCAGCAAAGUCGCGUGAAGUAAGAAGGUACUUAGUAUUGUAAACUUCUUUUGUCGGGGAACAAAGGCGGAGACGCGUCCCCGGAUGAGGGUACCCGCAGAAAAAGCAUCGGCUAACUCCGUGCCAGAAGCCGCGGUAAUCCGGAGGAUGCGAGCGUUAUACGGAUUUAUUGGGUUUAAAGGGAGCGCAGGCGGGAGAUCAAGUCAGCGGUAAAAUGUAGGGGCUCAACCCCGGCCGGCCGUGGAAACUGGUUUUCUAGAGUUGGAGAGAAGUAUGCGGAAUUCGUGGUGUAGCGGUGAAAUGCAUAGAUAUCACGAAGAACUCCGAUUGCGAAGGCAGCAUACCGGCUCCAUACUGACGCUGAGGCACGAAAGCGUGGGGAUCGAACAGGAUUAGAUACCCCGGUAGUC
rnacentral:rRNA from 1 species